AAAAGUCGUAACAAGGUUUCCGUAGGUGAACCUGCGGAAGGAUCAUUGUUGAUGCCUACAUCCAGCUAGACCGGCGAACGCGUUUCACCACACGGGCGGUCGCGGCUGCCUCGGCAGCUCGCUCUCCCGAAACGCCCGGGCGAUGGCCGCCACGCGCAGCGCCUCGCCCCGGCGAAACAACAAACCCCGGCGCGGAACGCGCCAAGGAAUGCAAACGUGCAGCAUGCCCGGUCGCCCCGGAAGAGGCGAGCGGCCGGGCCGCGCCGUGACAAUCGAGUCCACAAUGACUCUCGGCAACGGAUAUCUCGGCUCUUGCAUCGAUGAAGAACGUAGCGAAAUGCGAUACUUGGUGUGAAUUGCAGAAUCCCGUGAACCAUCGAGUCUUUGAACGCAAGUUGCGCCCGAAGCCACUAGGCCGAGGGCACGCCUGCCUGGGUGUCACCAAUCGCCUCCCCAACCCCAGUCCCUCCGGACGUGGAGCGGGGCGAACGAUGGCCUCCCGUGAGCAACGCCUCGCGGCUGGCUGAAAACAAUCCCCGUGCCGGCGCGCGGCACCGUGAUGCCUGGUGGUCGAGUUAAUUCUUGAGGCCAGUCACGGGCGCCCCCUGCCGGUUCCGGAAACAGUGACCCGGGAGCGGCACCGACCGCUCACGAUGCGACCUCAGGUCAGGCGGGGCUACCCGCUGAGUUUAAGCAUAUCAAUAAGSSRRAGARAAA
rnacentral:misc_RNA from 1 species